AACCUUUACACUGCACGACAGUGCGAUAGGGGGACUCCGAGUGCGGGGGCAUAGAGCCCUCGCUUUUGUACACCGUAAGGUGGUGUACGAAUAAGAACUGGGCAAGACCGGUGCCAGCCGCCGCGGUAAUACCGGCAGUUCGAGUGAUGGCCGAUUUUAUUGGGCCUAAAGCGUUCGUAGCUGGCCGAUCAAGUCUGUCGGGAAAUCUGCUCGCCUAACGAGCAGGCGUCCGGCGGAAACUGUUCGGCUUGGGACCGGAAGACCUGAGGGGUACGUCCGGGGUAGGAGUGAAAUCCUGUAAUCCUGGACGGACCACCGGUGGCGAAAGCGCCUCAGGAGAACGGAUCCGACAGUGAGGGACGAAAGCUAGGGUCUCGAACCGGAUUAGAUACCCGGGUAGUCCUAGCUGUAAACGAUGCCCGCUAGGUGUGGCGCAGGCUACGAGCCUGCGCUGUGCCGUAGGGAAGCCGAGGAGCGGGCCGCCUGGGAAGUACGUCUGCAAGGAUGAAACUUAA
rnacentral:rRNA from 1 species